AUUGAACGCUGGCGGCAGGCCUAACACAUGCAAGUCGAACGAGUGGCGGACGGGUGAGUAAUGUCUGGGAAACUGCCCGAUGGAGGGGGAUAACUACUGGAAACGGUAGCUAAUACCGCAUACCAUCGGAUGUGCCCAGAUGGGAUUAGCUAGUAGGUGGGGUAACGGCUCACCUAGGCGACGAUCCCUAGCUGGUAUGAGAGGAUGACCAGCGACACUGGAAAUGAGACACGGUCCAGACUCGUACGGGAGGCAGCAGUGGGGAAUAUGGCACAAUAGGCGCAAGCGUGAUGAAGCCAUGCCGAGGGCGGGAUGACGGGCUUCGGGUGGUAAACCGCGUUCAGCCAUGACGCGGGAGUGGCAGAAGAAGCACCGGCUAACUACGUGCCAGCAGCCGCGGUAAUAC
rnacentral:rRNA from 1 species